rnacentral:lncRNA from 1 species
CCAGAUCUCAUUCAUUAGAGCAAAGAUGCUUCUUCACAUGGGGCUUGUUUACUGAUAGUUAUUUAUCUGUUUGCAUAUUUAAAUAACCUCCCUCGGUGGUCGAGGUUUGUCAUUAAUUUCUAAAUAGCAAGUGAAUGCUUUGCUCUACGCUGUGCACCUUUUCUGUCUCCCACAGGUAGUCUUCCCUUUCCUUAGUCAGUUCUUUCCUCCCUCCCUAAUUUAAUUCACUUCCCUAAGUGACCAGUGGAUGACCUGGAACCUCAGAACCUUCUGCCUCUACCGACCCUCCAGUGCUGAAGGAGGAGGGGCAGCCCAAUUUCUGCCAUGCCAGGCUUGAACCCGCGACUCUCGCCUAGGCCAUCCUACCACUUUCCAGCUCCGCUUAGUGUAUUUAGACAAUACAGAAAUAUUUGAGAAACCGAGGCACAGAUUUGAACCUGCAUAUUUGGUCUAGAAAAUCAUGCUCUAUUUUAAUCUUGUGAAGGGUUCAAGGGACUCAAACAAUAACCAGAGGAUGAAAUCAUGCAGAAAGCGCCUAUGUCUGGGGGGAGGGGGGGUCGCCAAGGGGCCAAGUGUCCAGUUCCGCGGCGUCCCUGAAAGCCCUCCUCCCGCGUGGGGACCGCUCGCCGUUCACCCUCCCAAGGCCCGCGGUCCGCCUUGGCAGCGCGGCUCCCGUGACUCAGCCGCCGGCCCAGCUCUGGCCCUGGUGACGCCCGCACCGAGGGGAGGCGACGAUCGGCCUGAGACGCCAGACGGGGUGGGGGUCGCCGCUCGCCCGCUGACCGGCUCGCCCGCGCUUUACGGCUGCCGAAAACCGGCCCCGCCGGCCGCCGUACCGCAGACCCGGGGCGCCGCUCAGAUCUCUGGCUGGACAUCAGAAAUAGCUUUUGAUGGCAUAAAGCCUCCUUCCUGAGACCCCAGGUAGCAUGCACUUAUCAAAACCUGUCCUCAGCCUGUCCCACGUUUUCCAAUCUUUAGCAGUCACACUUCUGCUUUCCAUUGGACUGAUCUUGGAUUCCAUAGUAAGUGAAAGCAUGUAACACUCUUCUUUCAGGAUAUGACAUAACUUUUUUAUACAAAGACCAUUUUUUUUUUUUUUACAUUUCAGCAAAUGGGAACUUUCUGUUAUUUAUGGCUGAAUAAUACUUCACUUUAUAAGCAUGCAAUAAGUUUUGCAUAUUUGUAUAAUGAAAAGCAAAGCCUACUCCAUAUUUCAGCAUUGCAUAUAAUACUACAGCAAACAGUCUACAAGUAUCUCACAAUUUCAUUGCUUUUAGACAUAUACUUAAUCUAAGAAAUCUAGAAAAUUUUACAUACAUAUAUACCAUAUAUAUCUAUCAGAUUUAUUGUUAGUUUGGGAUUUCCAUCAUGAAUAUAUUAAUAUUACUUCCUCCAACAGUAUAUUUACAUCCUUACCAGCUUUUUCUUUUUUAAAAUUCAGAUAUUCUAACUACAGUGAAUCAACACUGCAUCUUAUUUUUCAUUGAUAUCCCUACUAUGGUUAAUUAUAUUAGUCUAUUUUCAUAUACAUUUGUUAAUUUUUAAAUUCUUCAUUUUAGAUAUAGCUAUUGAGAUAAGCUGUAAUUUUAAAUGUUUGGACAUUAAAAUAAAUGACUUGUAUCAAAUUAUUAUAGCUAAAUA